GUGAACACAGGAGGCCCAGAGAGAAGCAGCGUGACCCCAAGCGCCCAGGCCUCAGCUCCAGGCUGUCAGCACCUUCCGGUAGAGCUCAGGAAGGCUUCGUGAGCGGUGGGCGUUCUAGGAGUGAGGUAGUGGGGCACCCGAGGUCCCCCGUUACAGGGCCCGGAGCGUCUCCAUGGCCCAGGCCCCGCGGUGGAAGACCAGGCCCUACAGAUUCAGGACCACGGCCAGCACCCACACUGCCUUCCAUAAACACUGAGCUAAAUAAACCUAGAGCCUUGGUGAUGAGAUCAGCACUGCCUUUGUAAGUUGGUUUUCUCAACGAACAUCAACUGAACAUCUACUAAACAUAAGGUAGCUGUCCAAGGGAGAGAUUGCUGAAGCUUGGUGGCGGUGAUCGUUGUGCAUUGGCAGUGAAGGUCCAGAAGUUUCUCCAGUUCUUAAGGAAAGGCCGUUGUCACAGUGGUGGUGGGAGGCACCUGAUUUCCUUGACACCUACUUUACACCAGAUGCUGAGAGCUGGUGCCAUCUAUAGAUUUCCAUUCUGGGAGAGGUUUCUCUUUUGUCCUACUUUGCAUCAGACCUGCUGUCGUGAGGAUAAGAGCGCCCAGGAGACACUUCCCUGCAGUUUAAUAGGCUAUGAAAGAUGGGGACUCAUUAACUGGCUGGCAGCUGCCCCUAAGCAGGACGCUGCCUGGAGGUGGGGGAAGAAAGGGAAGGAAGGCCGAGGAGGAGGCAGGCUCCAUCCACUAGACCACCACCGGCUGCCCAAGGGAAUCCCCAAGGCAAACAGCACUACCUCCUGGAGGAUCCCACAAGUGAAGUCUGAACGAGAGUAUGACUAUCCAGUGACAGAAACUUAAACCUCCUUCUGGAGGAGCAGGCUCUGGGUUACUGUUUUUCUUUUUUGACUUAAAACAACCCUUCCUGAGAUAUUAUCUACCCACCUAAUUAUUUUCAGAUUGCCGAAAUGUUACUUUUUCUGUCAUUCCCAUACUAUGUUCUCAUCGAUUUUAUUACAGUACCCAUCCCUGUUACACUGGUGCGUUUAUUUAUAACUGAUGCUCCCUUUUCGAGUCUCGAUUAGGAUGGUCCUAGCCACCCUUAGGUAAAGCCAAGCUGCAGCCUGGCAUGCAAAGCCUCCUGAUUUGGCCCUGCCACCUCCCAUCCUCAUCUUUUCACCUUCCCAUCCAAACUUAGGCCACACUAUUUAUACGCUGUCCCUGCUCACAACGUCUUAACAUUUUCACAGCUUUGCAUGCACUGUUUCCUCUGCCUGGAACAGCUUCCUUGCCUCAGCCUUUUCCCUUGGCUCAGCUCUGGCCAUCUUUGCAGACUCAGGCUCACAGGUCCUCUUUGUGGGGUCUUGAAUCCCAAAUAUCCCAUCUGCCCUCUUAAUUGGAGGUCUCACAGCUUGUGGUCCCUUCCCUCUACUCAACCCUCAGCUCACUCUUCUGUUAACACUCUGUGUCUCCCAUUUAGUAUAGUGGAUGGUAAAUGUUCUUUGAAUAAAUCAAGAACACUGCUUCCAGCCCCCACAUAGCCUGGAUUUACCAGAUCAACAGAAUGAAAUUCAACCAGUGCCUCCUGAAUCAGGAGCCAGCACAUCACCUCUUACCUUUAUGGUUUUGGUCUGGAGUCUGAGUCCAUUUAAAGUGUUGAUGGCUUUCUCUGCAUCCUUUGGAUCAAUAUAGUUAACAAAUCCAUACCCUAAACUCUGUCCUGUGGAAAUAUUAAAAAGAGAGAGAGAAAGGGAGAGAGAGACAGACAGAGAGAAAGAGAGAGAGAGAGCAUGCUCAGUAUCUUUAUAGAGGCAACACUUCCCACUGCAGUGAGUCAAAACUCUCCUUUGGUAUAUAGUUCCUCUUACACCAGGGUUUACCCCCAGAUUGAGAGGUUUCCAAUUCCUCCAACUCUCACUCUCAUUGGCUAUUAAACUUUAGGAGCUGUGCAAGCUAAAACUGGGUAAGUGCCCCUGCACAGCCACACAAGAGAUACACAAGUGUCCACAUAAUCAGGAAGAGGCAGGACAUGGUAGUGGAAAGAGAACAGAUGUGGUUUGUCAGAAGAGACUUAAACUGGAGUCCUAGAGCUUUCCCUAUCAGCUCCGUGACUUUGUAAGGAAGUCAUUUAAUCUCUCUCCCCCUCCCACCUCCAAUCUCUGUUCUGGAGAUAAUAGCACUUACCUCAGGUAGGUUUGAGAGAGUGAGAGAUUGUGCAUAAAAUGCCUACCAAGUACAUUGCCUAGAUUGGAGUAGAUGCUCAACAAAAGACAGCUAUGCUCUGCUCAGGCCUGUAAAAUUGAGGCAAGUGCUGGACACAGUAGCAGUGUCUAUUGCCUCGGUCAUGCCAGCCACACCCACAUUCAGAGGGAUGUAGCAAGAUUUGAGUAGCAAAGACUAGAGAUGUGUAUAGUGAAGGAUGCAGGCAUGGCUAGAAUUUAAAGCAGUUGCUACAAAUCAUUCGUUACCCUCAUCAUCCCCUGAGCCAAAGAACAAUAAAGAAAAAGGAGAGGGGGUUUCUACUGGAAAGAGCUGGGGAGCUCCUAACACGAAGCUAAGAGUGCAAAUACACCCUGAAAAGAGGAUUUAGCUACUUUAGGUGGAGAUGGCAUCAACUUGUCUGCAAAGAGAGGUAGCAAGUGACAGGGCUCCCCCCAAGUGAAAUAAAAAUAAUGUGCUUGCAAUCGUGCCACUGAUUAUAAAUAGUCCAUCAGCUCUGCCAUGUGUCAUCAGCCAGAAAUAUCAUUAGGAAACUACAUUUUCUGACAUACCCUUUAAGAAACACAGAGCUUGGGGUGGCUGCAAAACCAACUUGAACUUCCCAAGCAAUGUUAUUGAUUUGUGGGCGGCAGCAGAGCCGAAGGGGAGGAAAAUGACAGGACGUCACAUGUCAGCAAAGACUGAUUACAUAAAGCUCUCUUUGGAGUACUGGGGCCAGGGCUGGGCGAUAAUACAGCAAAAAGCCUGCCAUGUCCUGGUGACAGGAGCCCAUUUCAGCGGCCAAAAAUUCUUUCCAACAGCUUCUGUUUUGCUGGUAAAUGUCUGUGUUUGUGUUGGUUGUAGGAGGAAACCUGGGAAAACAAGUUGGGUUCUGGAUGAGAAAAUGGGUGACUUUGUUAUAGGAUGGAGCAAAGAGAAUUACAAGAAAGCUCAAUGGCAUUUGACCCCAAAUGGAAAACCCAAAAUGACAACACCUUCCAUUAGGAUAUUCCUUUGUUUUGGAAGAACAGGGUGAGAAGAAGAAAGACAGGGGCAAACUUUACCAGACAUGCCCUUCACCAGCCAGGAUUAGUAACUGAAGAGGAAGGAGAGAAUGCUGGGUGCACUCCAGCUGCUGGGACCCUUCUCUUUCCAACUCACUGUACCUUUGCUUCUGGAGGAAGGAAAAUACAUUCAAGUCCUAGGAAGAUUCUGAAGGUCAAAUGAGGGAAAGGAGCCCUGCCCAGCAAGAUGUAUCAUGUCAAGCCACCCGCUUGUAUCAGUCCCAAAUCCACCAUCACCUUAGUUCCUGACUGCAAUUAGCACAACUGUGUUAUCACCUGCUCUAGCUUUAGAGCGAGAUUGCAUUUAACAUCAAGAAUGAAGGUGCUUUUGGGAAAACGAAAAAAAAAAAAAACAACAGAUGAACAUCAUUUCAGAAAGGAAAAGGAAAAAAAGAUGAUGAUUCUCCUUGAUAUAAAAUAAUGAACUGCAAGCUCUAAAACAGAACAUUGCAUUGAACAAGAGGAGGACAGAGGCAGAAAAACUUGCCUGUGAAUUGAAAGAUAUGAGAUAGUCUGGCACCACAGUGAAACUACCUGUGGUUAGCCUAGUUCAUGAACAGAUUUUCUUAACAUGCUUCUCACCAUCAUAGGAGUUCAGCUAAGUCUAAUAAAAAAUACUCUAUGGAUCUAA